rnacentral:lncRNA from 1 species
CAAAGAGCAAGGGUUAGCCCUGCUCCUGCCAGUCCCGCGAGCCCAUAGCUUAUACACUGUCUGCUGGAGUGCGGCUUUGCUCUGCCCUGCCCUGCCGUGGUUUGCAUUGCCCUGUGGGCUCUCACUUCUUUGGCCAAAGACUUUUGAGAUCUGGGCUCACCAAGCCCUGCACUAGGCAACACCUAGAAGCCAGAGCCAAAUGAACAGAUGCCAGGCUUGGCCCUGGGGACUGGUGUCUCCCCCUCCCCUGAAGUGUUUUCCCCAGUUCACCACUCCAGGUUUACUUUGCAGGGACCCCCGUAGGUGGCAGGCUUGGCUGAUCCUCACCUGUGAGCCUGGGAUAGUGGUGGGAUGUAGGGUUGCUGGAAGACUUUCAGGGAGAUUCAGGCCUUUCAUAAACUCCUCAACCAUCCUGUGCCCUCCCUGGUUUGCUCGCCCCGUGGAAGUUGGGAAGCCACUUUUCCCUGUCCUGUGUGACUUUCCCUGCAUAGUGAGCUCUCCUGCAGGAGAUACUUUCACAUGCUUCUUUAAAAGCACCUGUUCCUCAGAUCUAGAUCAGCUGUGAAAACAGGCUUCUUCAAGUCAGGGUGAGAGCUACCCCUCCCAGCUCAGAGCUGCAACACCAUAGGAGCCUCCAGCCCCAGUGCUGGAUGGGUCCCAUGGAGGAGUUAGAGCAAAGUGCCCCUUCUGCGAAGUGACUCAGAACAGAAGGCUCAGAAGUGACAGUCAACCCCCAAGUGCUUCUUCCAGGAGAAAGCAACCAGCUCUCCCUUUUAAACAGUUGUUGCCUCACAUAUGACCCAGCUGUAUGACUGGAGAAGAUUUCCUGGAGUUUAGUUGCCCAGAGUGUAAGCAUUUCAUGAUUCUAAGACAGCCUCAAAUUAAAACCGAAGACUCUUAUUUUAAAACUUUUAAAAAAUGAAUGAAGUAUAAAAUAGCAAUAUGAAAUAAUCAUAAUCAGAAUUGAGCUAAUUCCUGUGAAGUCAUUUAGUUUUUCAUUUUCUGCUUCUAUUUUCAAGGCAUCUAGAGUAGCACUAUCUGAGAUCCUAAGGCCUUCUAUUAUGGUGCUACCCAUUCAUUCCUCUCUCCUUGAGGACUUCUCAGGUGACUUAAGAAAACCUGAUUUCUUUUCAGAUUGUCCCCAGCUGGUGUGAUCUCUCUGUCGAUGGCCCUUGCCAAAAGCUGCAAAGGCAAUGUAUUGUUUUACAACACAAAAUUCCAGACAUUAAUUUACCAAUAAAGUCUCAGGAGUCAGAUGCUGUAUUUAAGUAAAGCUCCCAACUGUCCUUCCUAAUUCACUGUUCCCCCAGAAGAAGAGCAUUGUAGCUCUCUCUGCACACUUUCUUAAAAAUCCUACAACUGAAAGACUUUCCAUUGCCCUACUUAUCUUCAUUUCCUAUCAAGUUGUGCCUUGAUCUGCUCUAGACCUAAGUGCCCUUUAGCUUUGCAGUAAAGGUGUGAGGUAGGUGAGCUAAACAGUAAUAAAGUCCAUGUUCACAGUAAACAAAGAGCUCUUGCAUUAAAUGUCUGUGCCCUGGCGAUGCUAUACCACACAAUAUUUUUUCGUUAAAUAAUACAUUCAUGAAGAUCACAGUGUGAUCAAAAAUUUUGCUAGUUAGAAGAAAUCAGAGAAGGUCUAAAAACAUAAGGUUAUUGCCUGGAGCACAAUUCUCCCCCUUUUCCUACUGUCAGAUAUACACUGUAUUUAAAGAAGCAAUGAUAGUGAAGUACAUUGCUGCCCUGUCUAAACUCAGAAAAGGUGGACCCUCCAUGACUCCUGAUGGUGUUUUUAUAUCAAUGUAACAUAACAAAUGCACUGUAAAAGUAAAGACCAGAAGUUCACAGUAUAAUAGCAUUUGCCUUACCAUAUCCUCCCAGUGGGGAUGGAGAAUCUAAUGUUCUGAAAUCUUGACUUUAAGGAAUUGUGAUAUUCGUGGAAAUUCAAUUCCUUUUCAGAUGCUCCAGUUGUUGUGGCCCAUUGCUAGAAUGGUCAGCGUAAGCCUCCAGCCCCCCUGACAGGAAGCUCAAUAUAUACUGCUCAGAGCUUACUCGACAUUCCCCAAAAGUGCUGUCUUUGUACUUUGAGACGAAAGGCCAAACUCCUUCACUCUAGUCUCUCCAUAAUCGACGUUCCCCCUCCCAAAACGCUUGCGAAGACGGGAAAACAUGUCUUAGCUUGUAACCGCCAGACUCAGACUGAGAGAAACUAGGGCCCUGGUUGUCACUACAACACUGGUGACAUCACAGAGGAUGCCAAGAACUCUCUAGGAGACAAUAGAAUGUCCAAGAAGGGACAGCUGAUGUCAUGGGGAGCAGACUUUGUCUCCCUGCUAAUGUUCUCCCUGUACUGAGCAUAAGCAGAGGUGCCCUUUCCAGGAGACUUUCCUGGGGCAGAGUCACUGAGCAUCUCAUGCUUCCAAAGCCAAAUUUUCCUCAAGGCUUGAUUAUAAAAAACCUUAGUAAUCCCUAUGCAUCUAAAUGAAUUUUUCCUUCCAUAUCUUGCACAAAAAUGUCUCAUCAUAACUCAAAUUGUCCUCAUUCACCAAUGUUAGCCAUUAAAACUUCCUGAGAUUUCACACCAGCUUGAAUAUGCAGUCAAAAGUUCUCUUGUCUCAUUAUGUACAGGUGCUUUAUAUCACAUCAAGAAAUAGUCUGCAUGGUAGGGUACAACAUGCGUGUGUGUUAGGGGAACACUCAUGAAGUCAUGUGCUUAGCAAUCGACAAUUGCCAGAAAAUUCCUUAGGAGAAAGAGUUGUCGUCUUUAAGGUGCUAGGAAAAGUGUGGAGACCAGUUGGCAGAGGAAACUGCAAUAUUGGAGACACCAGUGAAGGGAACCUCAUGCUAAUCAGAACUGACUGCCAUAUAACACUUCCUACAAUCUUCAUAUGAGAAGCUUGAGAUUUUUGACUGACUUUUUCUUUUUCUUUCUUAUGUUUUGCUAUAUAAGUUGAGAGAAAGAGAUAGGGCUCAUGCUGCUUGUGGGGUUCUUGUCUCUGCACCAAUGUCGCCAAAGGAGCACUGCUCACAGGCCUGAGUAAGAUAUACCAUGAGCUUCUAUCAGAAAAAUAAAAUAGUCAAGAGAUAUAGGGGGUGCACAUAAACGUCUAAAAUGAGGCUAUAAACAUGAUUAAGUGGAUAGAGCAAGGUCCCAGCACCUGUACACUGGGAAAUGGCCACCCCACCAAACACAAAAUCAUCUAUCA